rnacentral:rRNA from 1 species
GACGAACGCUGGCGGCGUGCUUAACACAUGCAAGUCGAACGGUAAGGCUCCAGCUUGCUGGGGUACACGAGUGGCGAACGGGUGAGUAACACGUGGGUGACCUGCCCUGCACUUCGGGAUAAGCCUGGGAAACUGGGUCUAAUACCGGAUAGGACCGCACCGUGAGGGUGUGGUGGAAAGUUUUUUCGGUGUGGGAUGGGCCCGCGGCCUAUCAGCUUGUUGGUGGGGUAAUGGCCUACCAAGGCGGCGACGGGUAGCCGGCCUGAGAGGGUGGACGGCCACAUUGGGACUGAGACACGGCCCAGACUCCUACGGGAGGCAGCAGUGGGGAAUAUUGCACAAUGGGCGGAAGCCUGAUGCAGCGACGCCGCGUGGGGGAUGACGGCCUUCGGGUUGUAAACUCCUUUCACCAUCGACAAAGGGUUUCUGACGGUAGAUGGAGAAGAAGCACCGGCUAACUACGUGCCAGCAGCCGCGGUAAUACGUAGGGUGCGAGCGUUGUCCGGAAUUACUGGGCGUAAAGAGCUCGUAGGUGGUUUGUCGCGUCGUCUGUGAAAUUCCGGGGCUUAACUCCGGGCGUGCAGGCGAUACGGGCAUAACUUGAGUACUGUAGGGGAGACUGGAAUUCCUGGUGUAGCGGUGAAAUGCGCAGAUAUCAGGAGGAACACCGGUGGCGAAGGCGGGUCUCUGGGCAGUAACUGACGCUGAGGAGCGAAAGCAUGGGGAGCGAACAGGAUUAGAUACCCUGGUAGUCCAUGCCGUAAACGGUGGGCGCUAGGUGUGGGUUUCCUUCCACGGGAUCCGUGCCGUAGCUAACGCAUUAAGCGCCCCGCCUGGGGAGUACGGCCGCAAGGCUAAAACUCAAAGGAAUUGACGGGGGCCCGCACAAGCGGCGGAGCAUGUGGAUUAAUUCGAUGCAACGCGAAGAACCUUACCUGGGCUUGACAUAUACAGGAUCGCGCCAGAGAUGGUGUUUCCCUUGUGGCUUGUAUACAGGUGGUGCAUGGUUGUCGUCAGCUCGUGUCGUGAGAUGUUGGGUUAAGUCCCGCAACGAGCGCAACCCUUGUCUUAUGUUGCCAGCACGUUGUGGUGGGGACUCGUAAGAAACUGCCGGGGUUAACUCGGAGGAAGGUGGGGAUGACGUCAAAUCAUCAUGCCCCUUAUGUCCAGGGCUUCACACAUGCUACAAUGGUCGGUACAGUGGGUUGCCAGUCCGUGAGGGCGAGCUAAUCCCGCAAAGCCGGUCUCAGUUCGGAUCGGGGUCUGCAACUCGACCCCGUGAAGUCGGAGUCGCUAGUAAUCGCAGAUCAGCAACGCUGCGGUGAAUACGUUCCCGGGCCU